GUGCUGGGGAACGGGGCCGGGCUCCUGAGGGAGCCGCCUGAGGGCGGGCGCGGAGCCCGUGAGGAGGCGGCGCCCGCCUGAGGGGGCGGCACGCGCCGCUUCCCGCCCGCCAAAAGGCUCAAACGGUGCUGCGCCUCCCGCCUGUAACCCUCCGCCGGCAAAGAUUUAAAAAAUACUUCCAAAAAAAAAAAAAAAAAAAAUUAAAAGAGCGGGCGAGGGCCGGCCCUCAGUGAGGGCCGGAAGAGGGAGCCGCGCCGAGGAGGGAAGAAAGGGGGGAGGAGGGGGAUGGAGGGCUCCGUGUGAGGCGGAGGGAUCCGCAGCGGGCCGCGGCGCGGGGCCGCCUCAGUGGGCGCCGCGCCUCCGGGAGGCCCUGCGGCGCCGCCAUGGUGGUGCUGAGGCGCAGCGCCGGCAGCCGCCGGCGGUCCCUGGCUGCCAUGGACUCGAGCUCCGAGUUCCUCUCGCUGCAGCCCGGCGGCAGGAGGACGAGCAGGCAGAGAGCAGCCCCGGCCUACAAACAUCAAGAGGAAGUGAGAACAAAGAAAAUGACGGUGAAGAUGUUCCAAGGCGUUACAACCUUCGAUGGAGGAAACCUGUUGACCGCUACCAAGCUCCUAUGGAAAUAAGACAAAGAGAUCGAGAGAGGACUAACUCGGGCCAGCCCUGUUCUGUCAGACAGAAAGAGUCACUUGAAAAUGCUGGGUCACAAAAAUAUAGAAGACGUGCCAGGUUGGUGUAUGGCUAG
rnacentral:lncRNA from 1 species